GUAGGUGAACCUGCGGAGGGAUCAUUCAUAAUAAGUGUUUUAUGGCACUUUUUAAAUCCAUAUCCACCUUGUGUGCAAUGUCGGUCGAUCUUCUUCAUGGAGAUCGACCAAACAUCAACCCUUAUCUUUUAACUCUUUGUCUGAAGAAUAUUAUGAAUAAACAAUUCAAAAUACAACUUUCAACAACGGAUCUCUUGGUUCUG
rnacentral:misc_RNA from 1 species